GCCUCCCAAGCAGUUGCCCGUGUUUUAACGUCUUUGGCUCGACGUCAUGCCUCUCUUCUCAGCUUUAAUAGAUUGGAUCGUCUAGCUCCACCAUCUCAAUAUUUUCCACCUGAUGCCCCUCAUAGAAAGGCUUUAAUCUAUGUCCAUUCACCUUAAGGAUCUUGUUUGUACUAGGACUUUGAAUCUCAACUGCACCAUGAGGAAACACGUUAGUGAUAACAAAAGGACCAACCCAUCUAGAUCUCAAUUUACCUGGAAAUAACUUAAGCCGAGAAUGAUAUAACAAAACUUUUUGGCCCACAAUAAAAGUUUUCCGCAUAAUCUGCUUAUCAUGAAAAGCUUUGGUCUUUUCCUUGUAAAUUUUUGAACUUUCAUAGGCUUCAUUCCUCAAUUCUUCCAACUCUUGUA
rnacentral:lncRNA from 1 species